UUCAAUUUGAACUUUGAUUUGAAUUAUAUCUUAAUGAAAUUAACUCAAAAUUUAUGGAAUGUUGACUGUGUAGUAUCCUGUUACAUCUGGUGCAUUCCAACAGUUCAUGGUAAGAGGCAGUAAUUCAAAAUUUGGAACAGAGGAACAAUGACCUUUAUCGAAAUAGAAUAUGGCAUUGCUUUGAAUUAGGAAUGGUGUGUUGUUAUUAAUGGGAUCUUCAUGAGGGUGAACUUCAUUUUGAAUUAUAUGCUACGGGAGGGCAAUUCAGUUAUGGAUGGGCUUAUGCAGAUAAGAAGUUCAAGCAACAACAACUCCUUCGUUAUAUGCUGCAGGAGGGUAAUUCAGUUGUGCUAAGGAUAAUUGUUCAAGUCGAAGGAUGCCCAGAUUUUGGCAUGUUUUAAGAAUUCAGAAUGACUAUAUUUUUUUUAUUCUUUUUUGGUUUAUAACAAAUGUACAUUUUGUAUAAUAUACAUGCCUUAUACGAUAGGUGGGGUCUUUUUUUUUUUUGUGGGGCCUAUCCUAGUUCAUGUACAUUUUGUGCAACUAUAGGUCCAUUAUACGAUACGCGAGGAAGGUGAACUCCAUUUCUUCUUUUUUUUCUUUUUUUUUUUGUGGGGCCCACUUGAAUUAAUAUACAUUUUGUGUUGUUUAAAUGCAUUAUACGUUAUGUGAGGCAUGUUUCUUUUUUGUGGGUCUUCAAGAAUUCAUGUACAGUAAUUUUGAAAAUUGAUGAAAUUACAUAUUAAAAUU